rnacentral:rRNA from 1 species
AGUGAACGCUGGCGGCGUGCUUAACACAUGCAAGUCGAACGAGAACGGGUUAUGGCUUGCUAUAAUUGUCAGCUAAGUGGCGCACGGGUGAGUAAUGUAUAGGUAAUAUGCCUCUUACUAAGGGAUAACAAAUGGAAACGUUUGCUAAUACCUUAUACUCCUUAUUAACAUAAGUUAAUAAGGGAAAGAUUUCUUGGUAAGAGAUUAGACUGUAUUGUAUCAGUUAGUUGGUGGGGUAAUGGCUUACCAAGACUAUGACACAUAACUGGUUUGAGAGGAGGAGCAGUCACACUGGAACUGAGACACGGGCCAGACUCCUACGGGAGGCAGCAGUGGGGAAUAUUGCACAAUGGACGAAAGUCUGAUGCAGCAACGCCGCGUGGAGGAUGACACAUUGCGGUGCGUAAACUCCUUUUAUAUGCGAAGAUAAUGACGGUAUUAUAUGAAUAAGCACCGGCUAACCCCGUGCCAGCCGCCGCAGUAA